AAGAAGAGAGAGAAAAUAAAAACAAAACCCUAGAGAGAGAAAAUCAAAGAAAAAGUGUGAAUUUUCAAGGAAAUUAAGUGAAAAAGGUAAGAUUUUUCUAUUAAGCUUGAGUUUUCUUAUUCCCAAGCAUUUCUCUUUAUUUUCCAUGAUUAAAUUACAUGUUUUCAUGAUGAAUUCAAUUCUGAAAAAAAUGGGUUAGGAGAGAGAAACUGUUAGAUUAAUUUGAUUUUAAGUUAGUUUAGCAUAUUUAGAAACAAAACAACAAGAAAAGAAUUUAUUUUCUCCCACAAUCAUUAAUGGCCGAAUUUAUCAUGUAUUGAGUGAGGAUAAAUUUGAUUUUCAUUUUAGGAGAAUUGGUUAAGAAAUGAUUAAUUAUGAGCCUAGAAAAAUAAUGAAAAUUUUCAGAGCAAAAAUACGAUUUUUACCCACUAGGGGUACUUUCGUAAUUUGCUACCGAGACUGAUAAAUUGAAUCUCAUUCAUAGUAACUAAGGUAAUUUAAGUAUAAUUGGAGUGUAGAAAGUGAGAAGAAUUGAUUUGGAGUUAAAUUGGAGAUAAUAGGCCGAAUUAGAUCAACACCGCAUUUAAGAGGUAGUCGGAUAAGUUGUAUAUCAUAUCAUGCAUAUAUACCGAGCCUGAAUUGAGUUUAUAAUGGUCAAGUAUUGAUGUGGUGAAUUAUGUAUUGUACAUUAUGGAUAGGUGGUGAACAAAGUACACUGGUAAAAGUACAAAGAUUGUGCUUGGAGACUGGGAUUAGGAGUACAUCGACUCCUAGAACUGUGAGUGAACUUAUUAUCGUCUUAAUUAUCUAGAGUAGUUUUAUACAACUGUGUCAUUUUAUGAAAAAUGGGUUUAAAUGGUAAAUUACCAUGUUUUAAGAGAAAUUGUGAUUUUAUAAAAUGAUUUUAUAAAUUUUCUGGAAAAUCGAAUAUUGGUUUUGAAAAUAGAGUAAUUGGAGACUGUCAGUUUGUGUUGCAAAUUUAUGGUUUUGAAUUGAAUGGCUUAUGACAAUAAAUGAGCAUGAAUGGCUAAACUGAUUUUAGUGUUAGAAUUAUUUAUACUGUGUAUUCAGCCUUAAGAGGCUAGGUUACGAUAAAUUACUAUGUCAUGCUAGAAUGAAUUUUAUUGAUUGGUGGAUUAUAUAUUAAUUAUUUACUGCAGAGGGGGUUCCGUGGACCAGCCUAUUAGAGGGGCACAGUAAACUCCAUUAUAUUAUUAUCUCGAACGGAGAGGCGCGUAGGGUAUCUCCUGGGGUAAAGCUUAGGGUUCACUUUACGCCAAACCACCACGUGAAGGGGAACUCAGCCAACACCAAGGAACGGCUGUAUUUUUGUCAAACUAAAAUAUAUUUUAAGUGUAUUUAAAAUUUGAACAGCCUUGGCAGACUCGGUUAAAUGCCUUGCGCAAGGUAUCACCGAGUAUGAGUUUUGGCACGCGCCAAAGUUUUAAGAAAUUCAUAAGCCAAGUUGAUUACUCGAUUUAUAUGGAUUGAUUUUAUUUGGUUGAAAUUAACUGAAAGGUAAUGAAAUUACAGUAUGAUGACUUAUUUUAAUUGUUUCCAUUUACUCGACUUUAGAUAGUUUAGAUGGUAUCUGUUUACUCACUGGGAUUUUAUAAUCUCACCACCCUCAUUUCCUCACAUUUCAGGCUCGGGGAAUUCCAUAGUUAGUUGACUUUGACAAGGACUUUCAUUUGGACUCGAAUCGGUAAAAACUGUAGGUUUUCAGCUUCCGAUGCAUUUUGGAUAGAUGUGGGCCCACGUGUCACUGUAAAAGAAAUUUUAUGCUUUGGUUAUUUGCUUUAUAGUAUAUAUGAAUAUAAUUAUCUUUUACGCUAUAAGAAUUAUGUACCGAUAGUUUUAUGAAAAUUAUUUUACAAGAAAAUAGUUUAUUUUAUUGAAUAUUUUUAUCAUAUUCAAAUGGUCAAAUUUUCACUUCAAAUGAACGUUUUAGAUACUUAAUUUUUUUUUAUCAUUAAAUAUAUAUUUUCGGCUUACCUACUACAUUUUUAGCAAGUUUCGAGGUUUUCGACAAAAAUGACGAAAAUGCCCCUGUGAGCCAAAAAAAAAAAAUAUGUUAUGUUAUGAUUUGGAAAUGAUUUGUAAUCCUUCGUAUUUUGAUUAUUUGAUA
rnacentral:lncRNA from 1 species